UGGUGGGUAGUUUGACUGGGGCGGUCUCCUCCUAAAGAGUAACGGAGGAGCACGAAGGUUGGCUAAUCCUGGUCGGACAUCAGGAGGUUAGUGCAAUGGCAUAAGCCAGCUUGACUGCGAGCGUGACGGCGCGAGCAGGUGCGAAAGCAGGUCAUAGUGAUCCGGUGGUUCUGAAUGGAAGGGCCAUCGCUCAACGGAUAAAAGGUACUCCGGGGAUAACAGGCUGAUACCGCCCAAGAGUUCAUAUCGACGGCGGUGUUUGGCACCUCGAUGUCGGCUCAUCACAUCCUGGGGCUGAAGUAGGUCCCAAGGGUAUGGCUGUUCGCCAUUUAAAGUGGUACGCGAGCUGGGUUUAGAACGUCGUGAGACAGUUCGGUCCCUAUCUGCCGUGGGCGCUGGAGAACUGAGGGGGGCUGCUCCUAGUACGAGAGGACCGGAGUGGACGCAUCACUGGUGUUCGGGUUGUCAUGCCAAUGGCACUGCCCGGUAGCUAAAUGCGGAAGAGAUAAGUGCUGAAAGCAUCUAAGCACGAAACUUGCCCCGAGAUGAGUUCUCCCUGAGACUUUAAGUCUCCUGAAGGAACGUUGAAGACGACGACGUUGAUAGGCCGGGUGUGUAAGCGCAGCGAUGCGUUGAGCUAAC
rnacentral:rRNA from 1 species